GACAGAGGGGUGCAAACGUUGCUCGGAAUUACUGGGCGUAAAGCGCGUGUAGGCGGUUUCGCAAGUCAGGUGUGAAAGCCUGGGGACCUCAACCCCAGAAGUGGCCACUUGAUACUACGGAGCUGGAGUCUGAAGAGGAGAGGCGGAAUUCCCGGUGUAGAGGUGAAAUUCGUAGAUAAUCGGGAGGAACACCGAGUGGCGAAGGCGGCUCU
rnacentral:rRNA from 1 species